rnacentral:lncRNA from 1 species
CGUAAAACAUUGACAACUAAAUGUAUCGUUUUGUGUGAUUUAGGAUAACAGCGCCGUAUAAGAAGAGGACCCAAUUGUUCCAAAAGGCCUUGAUUUUGCUCCGCCGCGGUCCGCGCGGAGGCUGCGGCAGCUGUGGACAGCAACAGGUGGUGUCCUUCUGAUGUUCUUGAUGCACGUCCAAGGGUACUCGUCCGUUGAUGGGUGAUGGAGAUGAGGUUCCUUCUGCUAUAACCCUGGCCUCCAAGAACAGCUUCAAAGACAGGACCUAAGGAGAGAUCAGUCACGCAAAACACAUCUACACACCACUGCUUCUGCUGCAAAUGUGAGGGCAUGAUCUGUCUCUGUGAAGACAAAACAAUAUGUA